AGAUGGGAUCAUACCAGCACUAACGCACCGGAUUCCAUCAGAACUCCAAAGUUAAGCAUGCUUGGGCCAGAGUAGUACUAGGAUGGGUCAACCCUUGGGAAGUCCUCAUGUUGCAUCCC
rnacentral:rRNA from 1 species